UUAAAUUGAAGAGUUUGAUCAUGGCUCAGAUUGAACGCUGGCGGCAGGCCUAACACAUGCAAGUCGAACGGUAACAGAAAGAAGCUUGCUUCUUUGCUGACGAGUGGCGGACGGGUGAGUAAUGUCUGGGAAACUGCCUGAUGGAGGGGGAUAACUACUGGAAACGGUAGCUAAUACCGCAUAAUGUCGCAAGACCAAAGAGGGGGACCUUCGGGCCUCUUGCCAUCGGAUGUGCCCAGAUGGGAUUAGCUAGUAGGUGGGGUAACGGCUCACCUAGGCGACGAUCCCUAGCUGGU
rnacentral:rRNA from 1 species